GCCGGGAUGGCGGAACUGGUAGACGCGCCGGACUCAAAAUCCGGUGGUCUUGCGACCGUGAGAGUUCGAUUCUCUCUCCCGGCACCA
rnacentral:tRNA from 1 species